CCGUACUCCUUUGAAGGUAUGUCCCUUACCUUCUACACGGAACAAUCCGAGGGAACCAUGGCAUGGAGAGGAUCCCUUAAACCACUCACAGCCCUGUUCCAUGCACACAACAUCAAAUAUCAAUGGUGAUCGGCCCACAAGCUUCUGGGCCCCCACGGUGAAGCUACAUAUUUCAUCGCGGAUCAGCAGAAACCGUCGGUACACUUGGCGACCCUGGGUCUCCCAUAGGACGCUCUAAAACAGUAAUUUGUCCCCCUAGGGUUAACCCCCGACGCUUAUGCGAUGGCCACUACCUGAGCUCCCACUAAGGGUCUGCAGGGCCAGACCUUCUACUUCUAAUGUUCCUACAUGUUUACGGUUAUUUCAUUCAUAAAGUUACCUGUUUGCACGUCUGUUUGGUGGUACCC